UCUUGAGGACUUUACCUGGAUAGUGUGGUUGGUUGUUCUCCUGGUUCUCCUGGUCAUCAGUGUAACCAUCUGUGUUCUAUUUCUGCGUGUUAGAAAAGCCAAAGGCAAACUUCAGGAAGAAUAUGGCAAACCUCAGGAAGAAAAUGAACAAUUAACUGCAGUGGAAUGUGAGUAGUCUUGGUUUAUAUUUUGGAGGGG